GCUUUGCCUGUGAGCCCCGGCCCAGGAGGUCAUUGUUGGCAUUCCUGCCAUGACAGCCAUUCCCGGGGGACUGAGGCUCCCAGGUGGGGCUGCCGGCCUGGCAGGUCCCGUUGGUCCCUGGUGAGGAGCGGGACAAAGUCUGGUCACUGCUCAGGGGCCAGCUCAGGGUGGCCUGAGGACAGGCAGAGCUGUGUGUGAUGGGCUGCUCGGUGCAGCGUCCUUUAGGAGGUUUAGUCUCUUUAAUCCAUCCAGGUGGGGCUCCUGCGAUGUUUCUUUCCCCACCUGGAGGAACACUUUCAGUGGAGUGGAAAUCCUUCCCCUGCAGAGCUUUGAAACCAGCAAAGGUUUAGUCACUUUCUUGUGCUGCGAUUGCAUCAAACCGGCCUUUGGCUUGCUGAGCACAAGGGAGUUGUGUGAACUCCUUUGAGGAACUGACUGAUUUCCUUUGUUGUGCUUUGUGUGUGUUUUUCUGGGAAGGUGGAGGCAGCACAGAGAGGAGACCAGAUCCCCAGUCUGGGACAGAUGUUCCAAAAACAUAUCCCUGACUCCCGAGGUGAUUCAAAAGGAGUGCAAAAACCCCAAAAUGCCUCCUCUGAAUGGGGAGUCUGUUUUGCAGUAGUUUUCAACAGAGACAGGAGAAGCCAUAUAUUAGGCAGGAUUUAGGUGAGUGAUAAAGCAUCCUGUGGUGUGAGGGGUGGUCAGUAAAGCUCCUGUCCCACUGCUGAAUUUGCACGCCCUUCCUCAAGGAGGUGCUGGUAACUUUUGCCUCAGCUGGUAAAUGGUGAUGUGCAAGUGAGGUUGGUGUAUCUGAGACAGCUUCUUCUUGUUCUUACCCUGGUGACUGUCAGGGCUUCAAAGCAGAACUGAAGUUAUGUGGCUGCUUUAAAGUGUGUAAUUAUGAUCUGGCCCAUUUCUGCCUGGCCAAACCACAUCUCUAAACUUACAGAAGCAAGGAACAGGUUUAUUGGAAGGUUCAGGCAAGUUUUGUUGUGUUCAUUCCUCUUUGAGUGGAAUGCGUACAUGCAGCUGUCCAUUAAGGAUACAUAAAACCACUUAAUACCUUCAUAACUAAACAUGCUUAAUACCUUCCUGUACUUGUCUUUGUACAUGUACUUCCUCUACACAUUCUCUGUGCUGACAGAGCUGAUACUUCUGAAGAGAGCUCCUCACCAGAGCUGCUGGCUGGGGGGAAUUGUUUGUGCUGAGGUGAGGAUGCUCCUAUUCCCUUCUCUGCCUCUGCCUCAUUAAGCAGUGCAAGUUGUGUCAAGGAGCAGCACCAGAGGCCACUUCAGCAGUCUCUGGCUUGUGGUGUUUGAGGGGAGAUAAAAAUAACAAACCCAGUGACUUUAAGCAGCACUUUGCUUACAUUUUGAUGGUAAUCCCUAUUCCAGCAGGCACAGAGUUGUAACUCUUGCAUGAAUAAAAUCCCCUUGCCACAUGGUACGUGUGCACAAAAGGCUCUGAGGUCUGGUGUGCUGAUGCAGAAGUUAGUUUGCACUUGCAUCUCUCUUUAUAGGCUUUUCCCCUAAAUAUUAGUGGAGAACUGACGGCUGAGACUGGAGCAGCUGCUGCAGCACCUGAACUCCAAAGUGGAGAACUCUGUGCUGCCAGCAGCUGUCAAAUUGUGUCACAGAUGGGAAAAUCUGAUAACCACUAGUGUGAAUCAGCAUCUUUGAAAUCCGGCAGUUCUCAUGGCUCCAAGUGCGAUGGAUUUGGGAGAAGAACUUUGUUUUCUUGCUUUGUUUCAGACACAUCAAAACAAGAGGAAAGUAUUAUGGUCUGGUCUUCCCUGCCUCAUCUCAGACUGAUCAGGUCUGAUGCAAAAGCACAGGGAAAAGCAAGGAUGAAGAAGCCAGUCCUGCUGAGGAAGAUGAGGAGAUGUGAAAGGAUGGAGACAGCAGCCACCAAAGGCUGGGGAAGGCACAGAGCCAGGACAGGAAGAAAUGCUUAACUCAUCCCAUCUUUGCCCAGAGCCUUGGUGUUUGAGCAGCCAAACCCAACAAGCUCCAGAACUGCUGGUCCUGCCCAUGGUGUGGGAUUCUGGACUUGCCUCUGUGGACAUGUGUGCUGAGCUCUCACUGCAGGGAACUGUCAGGCCUUGAUGGUUAUGAAUUAUACCCACAGCCCCAAAUUCCCUGCUGAAUUCCUGCUGGAAUAACCCAACAGUGCCUUGUGGAGUCUGGACAUUCCCAUGUAGAGCUGCCGUUGAACAGCAGCUGUGGCAGGAACCAGCAGAGGUUCCAGGACAAGGACAGGUUUGUAUUCCAUAGAAUUUGUUAUUUAUAACCCUCAUCCCCCAGCCCCACUGAUGUCCCUGGGGGACACUUGACAGAGUUCCCUGGAAUUCAGCUGAUUUCAUCCCCCUGAGCUCGGGCUCCAGUUGAAAUUUUAAAGCAGGAGAAGGUGAUGGCUCCUGGCCCGUGCUGAGGCAGCCCCUGUGCCCAGGGGAGGACAUCUCUCCCUGCAGGAGCUGACUCCAUCUCAGAGCCUCAGGAGUGCCUCUGCAGGUUCUUUUCCCUCAGGAAAGGGAUGCACAUCCCUGCUUCCAGCACACCUCCAGUGGGACCCACCUGUGAAAGUUUUCCAUCAGUUCUGUGGUUCCAGCUGGCUCCCUAGAACACUCCAAACUUCAUCCAAACAAAACUUCACCUGACUCUAACCUUUUAUUUACAGGCCUCCCUGAGGGCAUUGCUUGGGGUUUCAUUUCUGGGGGGAAGAUCCCCUUGGCUUUAACGCUGCUGAGGGAUGAUGGCCCCAGGCUGGGAGGGAAGGGGUUUGGGGGGCUGGGACACACCUGGGGGUAUGCAGGAGCUCCGGGAGGUCGGCACCGGGAAUUGCUGCCUGAGCCCCUCCUCAAACGCACCGCGCUGACAUUCCCAGGUAAGGCCAGAUGUUCCAGCUGUUCCUCGGUAAUUCUGGGCUGCGGGCGGGGCCUGUCCGGGCUGAAGCAGCUCCGGAGCCCGUCAGAGCAGCCCCCGGCCGAGGAGCCGCGGGCAGCCCUCGAUCCACGUCCAUCCCAGCGCUGCCCAUCCCCGGGAUGCGGGUGUGGCGGGACACUGAGGCACAGCUCCUCCCCGCAAACACCGAGGGCAGGAGGUGCUGGGUCCCUUCCUGGGCUCCCGGCCUCCUCCUGCCCCGCAUUCCCAGCCAGCUGGGACCACUGAGGAAACACCAAGGAACAUUCCCACCUGGGAGUGGGAGUCACCAAGGGCUCCGUGCAGCUCCGGGCCAGGAAAGUGGCCCCAGCCCCAGCAGGGAUUUUGGGCUGUGAACACUCACCUGCAGGAAACGCCCCUCUGCAGGUGGGACCAGCCCUGACACUCUCCUGAAGAACUCUGGCCAUGGACCAAGUGAUCCCUCAGGGCUUGUCCUGCUCAUUUCUCCUUGGAAAGGGGCAUGGAAUGAGCACCUUUACAGCUGUUGGGUAAAUCCUGGAAAGAGCAGGAAACCAAGGUUAUUGAAGAGUCUUGUGCUGUCCUGUGAGACACCAGCCAGUCCUGCUCUAGAGCCGGUCUAGGGGCUGGUGUGCAGAGCAGGACUAGCAGGAAGGAAGGAGCCACAUUGACAUAGGAAUUCCCUUGCUGGCAGCAGCCACCCCAUCCCAGGCAGGACCUUCCUCAUGAGCCUGAGGUUGCUCAGGUGCUUGGAGCAGGGUGCUGACAAGGCCAAGAUGCUGAAUUCAGUCCCCACGUGGGCCAAUCGCUCAUCACCGUUUGACUCGAUGAUCCUCAUGGCCCUUCCCAACUCGGAACCUCCUGUGCUCUGAAAAUAAAGAACAAACACCUCUCA